AAUGAACGCUGGCGGCGUGCUUAACACAUGCAAGUCGAACGAGAAAUCCUUAGCUUGCUAGGGAGAGUAAAGUGGCGCACGGGUGAGUAUCGCGUGGGUAAUCUACCCUUGGAUUCAGGAUAACAUUUCGAAAGGGGUGCUAAUACUGGAUAACAUCCUGAUGGUUUUGGCCAUAAGGAUCAAAGAUAGCCUCUACAUGUAAGCUAUUGUUCAGGGAUGAGCCCGCGUACCAUUAGCUAGUUGGUGGGGUAAGAGCCUACCAAGGCGACGAUGGUUAGCGGGUCUGAGAGGAUGAUCCGCCACACUGGCACUGGAACACGGGCCAGACUCCUACGGGAGGCUG
rnacentral:rRNA from 1 species